CUUGCGCAGGUCUGGGUACGUGUCGAAUUACGCCUUACUUUUAGGAGGUGUGUUGAGGAAAGUACCUUAGUUAGGUGGAAUGAGCUUAUCAAGGUUGUUGAGCCAGUGUGUCUAUCUGAUUCCCCAGAUCAGCCUGUCUAGAUGCUGGAAUCUUCCAACAAGUACUCUGUCAAAUCCUUUUAUAAGGUAAUUAGCUUUGGAGGGAUAUCAUCUGAAAUUAAAGAUGAUAUCUAGAAAAUCAAAGUUCCACCCAAUAUCCAUGUUUUCCUCUUGUUGAUCUACUAUAAUAAGAGCUUAACUAGAGAUAAUCUUGCCAAGCGCAGGCAUGCAGAUGACAUGUCCUGUGUCUUUUGCAACGAGCCUGAAACUAUCUAACAUCUCUUCUUUCAUUGCAUUGUUGCUAGACAUGUUUGGAAUUUGGUAGCUGAUAGCUUUAAUGUUACUGCGCCUGAUUCUUUUGUUCUGCCGGCUUCCUUCUGGAAGAGGAGAAAAUAUUUUGAAGCUUUAAACAUUGUUACUGCUGCUACCUUGUGGAGCUUAUGGCAUUUUCGAAAUGACUUUGUUUUCCAGGGGCGAAGAUGA
rnacentral:rRNA from 1 species